rnacentral:rRNA from 1 species
GAUGAACGCUGGCGGCGUGCCUAAUACAUGCAGGUCGAGCGAACAGAUGAGGAGCUUGCUCCUCUGACGUUAGCGGCGGACGGGUGAGUAACACGUGGAUAACCUACCUAUAAGACUGGGAUAACUUCGGGAAACCGGAGCUAAUACCGGAUAAUAUAUUUAACCGCAUGGUUCAAUAGUGAAAGACGGUUUUGCUGUCACUUAUAGAUGGAUCCGCGCCGCAUUAGCUAGUUGGUAAGGUAACGGCUUACCAAGGCAACGAUGCGUAGCCGACCUGAGAGGGUGAUCGGCCACACUGGAACUGAGACACGGUCCAGACUCCUACGGGAGGCAGCAGUAGGGAAUCUUCCGCAAUGGGCGAAAGCCUGACGGAGCAACGCCGCGUGAGUGAUGAAGGUCUUCGGAUCGUAAAACUCUGUUAUUAGGGAAGAACAAAUGUGUAAGUAACUAUGCACGUCUUGACGGUACCUAAUCAGAAAGCCACGGCUAACUACGUG